rnacentral:rRNA from 1 species
GGGUUGUGAGGUUAAGCGACUAAGCGUACACGGUGGAUGCCCUGGCAGUCAGAGGCGAUGAAGGACGUGCUAAUCUGCGAUAAGCGUCGGUAAGGUGAUAUGAACCGUUAUAACCGGCGAUUUCCGAAUGGGGAAACCCAGUGUGAUUCGUCACACUAUCAUUAACUGAAUCCAUAGGUUAAUGAGGCGAACCGGGGGAACUGAAACAUCUAAGUACCCCGAGGAAAAGAAAUCAACCGAGAUUCCCCCAGUAGCGGCGAGCGAACGGGGAGCAGCCCAGAGCCUGAAUCAGUGUGUGUGUUAGUGGAAGCGUCUGGAAAGGCGUGCGAUACAGGGUGACAGCCCCGUACACAAAAAUGCACAUGCUGUGAGCUCGAUGAGUAGGGCGGGACACGUGGUAUCCUGUCUGAAUAUGGGGGGACCAUCCUCCAAGGCUAAAUACUCCUGACUGACCGAUAGUGAACCAGUACCGUGAGGGAAAGGCGAAAAGAACCCCGGCGAGGGGAGUGAAAAAGAACCUGAAACCGUGUACGUACAAGCAGUGGGAGCACAGAGCAAUCUGUGUGACUGCGUACCUUUUGUAUAAUGGGUCAGCGACUUAUAUUCUGUAGCAAGGUUAACCGAAUAGGGGAGCCGAAGGGAAACCGAGUCUUAACUGGGCGUUAAGUUGCAGGGUAUAGACCCGAAACCCGGUGAUCUAGCCAUGGGCAGGUUGAAGGUUGGGUAACACUAACUGGAGGACCGAACCGACUAAUGUUGAAAAAUUAGCGGAUGACUUGUGGCUGGGGGUGAAAGGCCAAUCAAACCGGGAGAUAGCUGGUUCUCCCCGAAAGCUAUUUAGGUAGCGCCUCGUGAAUUCAUCUCCGGGGGUAGAGCACUGUUUCGGCAAGGGGGUCAUCCCGACUUACCAACCCGAUGCAAACUGCGAAUACCGGAGAAUGUUAUCACGGGAGACACACGGCGGGUGCUAACGUCCGUCGUGAAGAGGGAAACAACCCAGACCGCCAGCUAAGGUCCCAAAGUCAUGGUUAAGUGGGAAACGAUGUGGGAAGGCCCAGACAGCCAGGAUGUUGGCUUAGAAGCAGCCAUCAUUUAAAGAAAGCGUAAUAGCUCACUGGUCGAGUCGGCCUGCGCGGAAGAUGUAACGGGGCUAAACCAUGCACCGAAGCUGCGGCAGCGACGCUUAUGCGUUGUUGGGUAGGGGAGCGUUCUGUAAGCCUGCGAAGGUGUGCUGUGAGGCAUGCUGGAGGUAUCAGAAGUGCGAAUGCUGACAUAAGUAACGAUAAAGCGGGUGAAAAGCCCGCUCGCCGGAAGACCAAGGGUUCCUGUCCAACGUUAAUCGGGGCAGGGUGAGUCGACCCCUAAGGCGAGGCCGAAAGGCGUAGUCGAUGGGAAACAGGUUAAUAUUCCUGUACUUGGUGUUACUGCGAAGGGGGGACGGAGAAGGCUAUGUUGGCCGGGCGACGGUUGUCCCGGUUUAAGCGUGUAGGCUGGUUUUCCAGGCAAAUCCGGAAAACUAAGGCUGAGGCGUGAUGACGAGGCACUACGGUGCUGAAGCAACAAAUGCCCUGCUUCCAGGAAAAGCCUCUAAGCAUCAGGUAACAUCAAAUCGUACCCCAAACCGACACAGGUGGUCAGGUAGAGAAUACCAAGGCGCUUGAGAGAACUCGGGUGAAGGAACUAGGCAAAAUGGUGCCGUAACUUCGGGAGAAGGCACGCUGAUAUGUAGGUGAAGUCCCUCGCGGAUGGAGCUGAAAUCAGUCGAAGAUACCAGCUGGCUGCAACUGUUUAUUAAAAACACAGCACUGUGCAAACACGAAAGUGGACGUAUACGGUGUGACGCCUGCCCGGUGCCGGAAGGUUAAUUGAUGGGGUUAGCGCAAGCGAAGCUCUUGAUCGAAGCCCCGGUAAACGGCGGCCGUAACUAUAACGGUCCUAAGGUAGCGAAAUUCCUUGUCGGGUAAGUUCCGACCUGCACGAAUGGCGUAAUGAUGGCCAGGCUGUCUCCACCCGAGACUCAGUGAAAUUGAACUCGCUGUGAAGAUGCAGUGUACCCGCGGCAAGACGGAAAGACCCCGUGAACCUUUACUAUAGCUUGACACUGAACAUUGAGCCUUGAUGUGUAGGAUAGGUGGGAGGCUUGGAAGUGUGGACGCCAGUCUGCAUGGAGCCGACCUUGAAAUACCACCCUUUAAUGUUUGAUGUUCUAACGUUGACCCGUAAUCCGGGUUGCGGACAGUGUCUGGUGGGUAGUUUGACUGGGGCGGUCUCCUCCUAAAGAGUAACGGAGGAGCACGAAGGUUGGCUAAUCCUGGUCGGACAUCAGGAGGUUAGUGCAAUGGCAUAAGCCAGCUUGACUGCGAGCGUGACGGCGCGAGCAGGUGCGAAAGCAGGUCAUAGUGAUCCGGUGGUUCUGAAUGGAAGGGCCAUCGCUCAACGGAUAAAAGGUACUCCGGGGAUAACAGGCUGAUACCGCCCAAGAGUUCAUAUCGACGGCGGUGUUUGGCACCUCGAUGUCGGCUCAUCACAUCCUGGGGCUGAAGUAGGUCCCAAGGGUAUGGCUGUUCGCCAUUUAAAGUGGUACGCGAGCUGGGUUUAGAACGUCGUGAGACAGUUCGGUCCCUAUCUGCCGUGGGCGCUGGAGAACUGAGGGGGGCUGCUCCUAGUACGAGAGGACCGGAGUGGACGCAUCACUGGUGUUCGGGUUGUCAUGCCAAUGGCACUGCCCGGUAGCUAAAUGCGGAAGAGAUAAGUGCUGAAAGCAUCUAAGCACGAAACUUGCCCCGAGAUGAGUUCUCCCUGACUCCUUGAGAGUCCUGAAGGAACGUUGAAGACGACGACGUUGAUAGGCCGGGUGUGUAAGCGCAGCGAUGCGUUGAGCUAACCGGUACUAAUGAACCGUGAGGCUUAACCUUACAACGCCGAAGCUGUU